rnacentral:rRNA from 1 species
CCUACGGGAGGCAGCAGUAGGGAAUCUUCCACAAUGGGCGAAAGCCUGAUGGAGCAACGCCGCGUGGGUGAAGAAGGUCUUCGGAUCGUAAAACCCUGUUGUUAGAGAAGAAAGUGCGUGAGAGUAACUGUUCACGUUUCGACGGUAUCUAACCAGAAAGCCACGGCUAACUACGUGCCAGCAGCCGCGGUAAUACGUAGGUGGCAAGCGUUAUCCGGAUUUAUUGGGCGUAAAGGGAACGCAGGCGGUCUUUUAAGUCUGAUGUGAAAGCCUUCGGCUUAACCGGAGUAGUGCAUUGGAAACUGGGUGACGUGAGUGCAGAAGAGGAGAGUGGAACUCCAUGUGGAGCGGUGAAAUGCGUAGAUAUAUGGAAGAACACCAGUGGCGAAGGCGGCUCUCUGGUCUGUAACUGACGCUGAGGUUCGAAAGCGUGGGUAGCAAACAGGAUUAGAUACCCUUGUAGUC